rnacentral:rRNA from 1 species
UACGGGGGGAGCAAGCGUUGUUCGGAUUUACUGGGCGUAAAGGGCGCGUAGGCGGCCAGUGCAAGUCAGUUGUGAAAUCUCCGAGCUUAACUCGGAAAGGUCAACUGAUACUGCUCGGCUAGAGUGCGGAAGGGGCAACUGGAAUUCUCGGUGUAGCAGUGAAAUGCGUAGAUAUCGAGAGGAACACCAGUGGCGAAAGCGAGUCUCUGGACGGCCUCUGACACUGAAGCACGAAAGCUAGGGGAGCAAACAGG